UUCCCGAGUAGUAUGGGGCACGUGAAAUCCCGUAUGAAUCUGCGAGGACCACCUCGUAAGGCUAAAUAUUCCUGAGUGACCGAUAGCGAAAUAGUACCGCGAGGGAACGGUGAAAAGAACCCCUGUUGGGGAGUGAAAUAGAACAUGAAACCAUGUGCUUGCAAGCAGUGGAAGGGUUAAGAGCCUGACCGCGUGCCUGUUGAAGAAUGAGCCGGCGACUUAUAGGAAGUGGCUGGGUUAAGGAAUUCAAUCCGUAGCCCAAGCGAAAGCGAGUCUGAAUAGGGCGUAAAUGGUCACUUCUUAUGGACCCGAACCCGGGUGAUCUAUUCAUGACCAGGUUGAAGCUUUUGUAACACUAAGUGGAGGACCGAACCGACCGAUGUUGAAAAAUCGGCGGAUGAGUUGUGAAUAGGGGAGAAAUUCCAAUCGAACUCGGAGCUAGCUGGAUCUCCCCGAAAUGCGUUGAGGCGCAGCGGUAACGAUGUACAGUCUUGGGGUAAAGCUACUGUUUCGAUGCGGGCUGCGAGAGCGGUACCAAGUCGUGGCAAACUCAGAAUACAAGAUUGUUUUCCGUAAACCAGUGAGACAGUGGGGGAUAAGCUUCAUUGUCAAGAGGGAAACAGCCCAGAUCACCAGCUAAGGCCCCUAAAUGGCUGCUAAGUGGAAAAGGAUGUGAGAAUGCUUAAACAACCAGGAAGUUCGCUUAGAAGCAGCUACCCUUGAAAGAGUGCGUAAUAGCUCACUGGUAAAGCGUUCUUGCGCCGACAAUGGCCGGGACUAAGUAGCCUGCCGAAGCUGUGAUAUAGUU
rnacentral:rRNA from 1 species